rnacentral:misc_RNA from 1 species
GUCGAAGGUGGGGCUGAUGACUGGGGUGAAGUCGUAACAAGGUAUCCGUACCGGAAGGUGCGGAUGGAUCACCUCCUAACAGGGAGACAACACAAUGAUUUUGAUGCCUGAGUGCUUUUAUUCUUAGGCCGAAAUCCUGUCACCUUAGGUCGAUCGGUACCUCAGCUUUGAAGUCAAGGAUCAGCAGCAAUGUUGAUUGCUUGAUGGAGAUUUUCAGUUCCUAAACUUUGUCUAGGUCACACCCCAAAAGGGAUGAGACUCCUGGGCCAUUAGCUCAGGUGGUUAGAGCGCACCCCUGAUAAGGGUGAGGUCCCUGGUUCAAGUCCAGGAUGGCCCAUUCGGUGUUGGGGGUUUAGCUCAGUUGGUAGAGCGCCUGCUUUGCAAGCAGGAUGUCAGGAGUUCGAGUCUCCUAACCUCCACUGACCGAACUUAAUUCCCAUCUCCAAUUCUUUUGGAGUUGAGCUCGAUUGGAGUGUGAUUUAGAUGUGUCCGCUGGAUGACCCCAGCUUCCUGUCAUUCCAAGUUUUAGGUUGAUGCCUUGAAUUUGGUUGAUAAGAUGCUGGGCUCGGAUCAAAUGAUCAAGCAAUUGAUGAUUUGAUUUGAAGUUCUAGCAGAACCUUGACAACUGCAUAGGUGAGUCUGGAAAAAACAAAGCAUCUUACAGAUGCAUUGUUUUGAAUCUGAUCUUCUGAAAGGGAGAUUGGAUCUAGAACAAUGAAAAUUCUUUUGAGCAAGAGCCGAGACUCUUGAGCGUUCUUUGAUUGGUGUCGAGCCAAUCAGAGUUUGAUCUUGUUUUUAGCAAUAAAAACUUGAGAAUCUGCUUUCAACGGCGGUAAGCGUUCAGGAGGUUAAUUGGUCAAGCUACAAAGGGCUC